UACAGAGGUGCUCAAGCGUUGUUCGGAUUCAUUGGGCGUAAAGGGUGCGUAGGUGGCGCUGUAAGUCGGGUGUGAAAAUUUCGGAGCUUAACUCCCGAAACUGCAUUCGUAUAACUGCGGUGCUUGAGGACUGGAGAGGAGACUGGAAUUCAUGGUGUAGCAGUGAAAUGCGUAGAGAUCAUGAGGAAGACCAGUGGCGAAGGCGGGUCUCUGGACAGUUCCUGACACUGAGGCACGAAGGCCAGGGGAGCAAACGGG
rnacentral:rRNA from 1 species